rnacentral:rRNA from 1 species
AUGGCGGAGGAGGAGAGGCGGCGGCGGUUCUCGAGUCUACGCAGCGUCCGGUGGCGGGUCGAUCUCGGCAUCCUGCCGGCGUCGCCGGAGGCCUCCGUCGAGGAGCUCCGCCGCGCUGCCGCCGAUUCGCGGCGGAGGUAUGUUAGUUUGAGGCGCCGUGUUCUGGUAGACCCUCAUCUUCCAAAGAAGGAGGCUAGAUCACCUAACCUCAUCGUGGACAACCCGCUCUCUCAGAACCCAGAGAGUAGCUGGGGUCGGUUUUUCAGAGGGGCAGAGUUGGAGAAGACUGUGGACCAAGAUUUGUCUCGCUUGUAUCCCGAAGAUGGUAGUUACUUCCAAACACCUACUUGCCAGGCCAUGCUGCGUAGGAUACUGUUAAUGUGGUGUCUUCAGCAUCCAGAGUAUGGUUACCGCCAAGGAAUGCAUGAGCUAUUGGCUCCACUUGUGUAUGUUCUUCAGGUCGACAUUGAUAAGCUAUCGCAAAUACGAAAACUCCAUGAAGACUGCUUCAAUGAUGAUUUUGUUGGAGUACCUUUCCCAGAUACUGAUAUGGUUUUUAGUUAUAAACCUAGAAAGGACCCAAAGUGGCAUUCAGGAACUGACAAUGAAAAUGAUUCUGAAAGUGCUUCCAGAGCUAACAGUCUUGAUGAGCUUGACUCAGAUACAAAAGAAAUAAUUUUACUUAGUGAUGCAUAUGGAGCUGAAGGUGAACUAGGCAUUGUAUUAUCUGAAAGAUUCAUGGAGCAUGAUGCCUAUGCCAUUUUUGAUGGUUUGAUGGAUGGGGGCGGUGGAGUGGUUCGCAUGGCAGAAUUUUACUCUCCAUCCAGUGUUGGAUCUAGCUCAAGUCUACCGCCUGCUAUUGAAGCCUCCUCAGCAUUGUAUCAUUUGCUUUCCAUUGUUGAGCCAUCUCUUCAUAACCAUUUCAUUGAGCUGAAAGUGGAACCUCAGUGGUUUGCACUUCGUUGGCUGAGGGUCUUGUUUGGACGAGAAUUCGGCCUCAGUGAUCUCUUAGUAGUAUGGGACAAAGUCUUCGCCUGUUCCAAUAGUAUGCUGCUAAAUAGUGAUGAGGAAUAUAGCUUUCGGAUCUUGUGUUCAGAUAGAGGGGCAUUCAUUGCAGCUAUGGCAGUCUCUAUGCUUCUUCAUGUUAGAUCGUCUCUGUUGGCUACCGAGACUGAUGUCUCUUGUCUCCAGAGAUUAUUGAAUUACCCGACGAAUGUUGAUGUGCAGAAGCUAAUUGAGAAGGCCCAGUCCCUGCAGUCUACUGCCAUUGAUGCGAACACUUCAUCCCCAUCUGUCCUAUUAAAUAGGGAUAUCGGCGAGUAUGACAGAGUUAACAGUAUUAUCUCUAUUUCAACUCCUCCGAGAACUCCAUUGCAUCCUUUAUCCGAGAGUUACUGGGAAAAGCAGUGGAGAAAUUUGCACAAUGAUGGGACAUCUCCCAAGGAGACUGAGAAGGGUCAUUCUUUCAGCAGAGAAAUAAAGAAAUCCUUAAGGCAGAAGCUUGGUUUGUGUAGGACAGAGUCAGAUCCUUCUCCAGUGAAAGCAAUCAGUGUGAAAAGUGAUGCUCAGAAUUCAGCAAGGCGAUGCCUUCUGGAUAUUUUAUCAGAUAGUGCGGGGAGGUCUCAUGAAAUUGCAGGGAAAAUUCAAGAAGAUGAAUUCCCUAUCGUCUCAAUUCACAAGGAGCCUCCAGUGAGUCCCGCAGAGCCUUUGCAACCAAGAGCAGCUGCUGAAAGUGUAACUGUAAGCCCACCGUGCCUGGCUAAACUCAGCCCUCUAGAAAAUCCGCUGGCUGUGCCAGCUGAUGAGAGCGCAACACAAAGGACACAAUGUGCAACAGAAGCUUGUUCUUCUAGCGGUGAGAACUCUCCAGUGUUCUAUGCAGCCGUUGCUGGUAAUGAGCAUGAGAACAUUCAAGAUAACGAUUCUGAGAGAAGUAGUGUCAUUUCAAUUUCGUAUGGUGGUGACAAUGACAGGGAUGAAAUACUGCAAGAUGAGUCAUCCAGCUGUAAUCAUGACGGCAGUAGUGUUCAAGAUUCAGAAGCAGAAACUUCUAAUAAAACUGCAGAUCCAGAUGGAUCCUCUGAAAAAACUGUGGUUCCUAAUGAAAGGAAGCCAUUUAUCAGUAAAUUUCAGUGGCUGUUGAAGCUAGGGAGACCCUCAGGUGAAGGCAACAUCGAGAAGGGUAGCGGUGAGAAAUCAGAUGCUAAAGAUGCUGUUGACCCAUCCUGCUCCGAAGGGAAUUCGAAUAACCCGCGUGGUAACGUGAAGUUGGCUGCUGGUGAUAAGAAGGUGAUGGGCACAUUUAAGAAUCUUGGACAAAGCAUGCUCGAGAAUAUCCAGGUGAUCGAGUCAGCGUUUCAGCAAGAUCGCAGCCAGCCCGGGCCGAUGGAGAACUUCUCGAACAACCUCCUGGGCGGCAAAGGACAGGUGACGGCGACUGCGGCUCUGACCGAGCUCCGCAAGAUCAGCAACUUGCUCAGCGAGAUGUAG